GACGAACGCUGGCGGCGUGCUUAACACAUGCAAGUCGAACGGAAAGGCCCUGCUUUUGUGGGGUGCUCGAGUGGCGAACGGGUGAGUAACACGUGAGUAACCUGCCCUUGACUUUGGGAUAACUUCAGGAAACUGGGGCUAAUAUCGGAUAGGAGCUCCUGCUGCAUGGUGGGGGUUGGAAAGUGUCGGCGGUUGGGGAUGGACUCGCGGCUUAUCAGCUUGUUGGUGGGGUAGUGGCUUACCAAGGCUUUGACGGGUAGCCGGCCUGAGAGGUUGACCGGCCACAUUGGGCCUGAGAUACGGACCAGACUCCUACGGGAGGCAGCAGUGGGGAAUAUUGCACAAUGGGCGGAAGCCUGAUGCAGCAACGCCGCGUGCGGGAUGACGGCCUUCGGGUUGUAAACCGCUUUCGCCUGUGACGAAGCGUGAGUGACGGUAAUGGGUAAAGAAGCACCGGCUAACUACGUG
rnacentral:rRNA from 1 species